CCCUUAGAUGUUCUGGGCCGCACACGCGCUACACUGAAGGGAUCAGCGUGUUCUUUUCCUGGUCCGAAAGGAUCGGGUAACCCGCUGAACCCCCUUCGUGGUAGGGAUCGGAGCUUGCAAUUAUUCUCCGUGAACCAGGAAUUCCCAGUAAGCGCAAGUCAUAAGCUUGCGUUGAUUACGUCCCUGCCCUUUGUACACACCGCCCGUCGCUACUACCGAUUGGACGUUUUAGUGAGGAUUUUGGACUGAGCCAAUGGUGGUUCACACCACUGUUGUGCAUGGAAAGAUCUCCAAACUUGAGCGUUUAGAGGAAGUAAAAGUCGUAACA
rnacentral:rRNA from 1 species